rnacentral:tRNA from 1 species
CGGGAAUAGCUCAGUUGGUAGAGCGCAACCUUGCCAAGGUUGAGGGGGGGCGCCCAGCCUCGCCGGUUCCGGCGACCACGG